UUCAAUUUGCCCAAACACUCCUCGUGCAUGAAAUCAUCUACCUCAGCACCAAUAAUAAUCUUGAUUAGAUGCCCCGUCGCAAUUAAUUGCCGUAUGCUCAUCAGUUCUUUCUAAGCAGAAACAAAUUAAUUAAGCUUGAUUCGUACAAUGCCCUUCUCGUCCUCCUUUUUUUUUUGCUAAAUUUAGUUUGUUAUUGUUUGAAAAUAGUUCUACAAGUAUUUCUGGUUCAUUUUUGUGGUAUUACAUGCGCAGCGUAGUACUUGCAGGCACAGUGUACGUACUUUCUUUCUUGUCCAGGACAGUACUGAGAUCUUCGUCUUCUCCGCUUCUCAAAUGAUGGGCGCAUUGGCUUUACCACAUCUCAAAUGUGUCAUGGAUUUGUCUGUAAAACAUAAUGUAUUGUUGCUUAGAUCAUGUCCAGUACUUCAAAAAAACACUGAUUGUAUACUGUAUACUGCACUGUUUUGAGUUUGAAUAUGUGUAUGCAGCAUCGGUAAGCUGCUAGAUUAUACCACAAUAAA
rnacentral:precursor_RNA from 1 species